AUUGAACGCUGGCGGCAGGCCUAACACAUGCAAGUCGAGCGGAGUGGCGAACGGGUGAGUAAUGUAUCGGUACGUGCCCAGUAGCGGGGGCUAACUACGCGAAAGCGUAGAUAAUCCCGCAUACCAUUGCAGCGGUCGAUAUGGGAUUAGCUAGUUGGGGAGGUAAUGGCUCACCAAGGCGACGAUCCGUAGCCGGUUUGAGAGGACGACCAGCCACACGGGGACUGAGACACGGCCCAGACUCCUACGGGAGGCAGCAGUGGGGAAUUUUGGACAAUGGGGGCAACCCUGAUGCAGCCAGGCCGCGUGUGCGAAGAAGGCCUUCGGGUUGUAAAGCACGUUUGGCAGGGAAGCGGUACCUGCAGAAUAAGGAACGGCUAACUCCGUGCCAGCAGCCGCGGUAAUAC
rnacentral:rRNA from 1 species